AUGUAAUGUAAUACCUACAACUUUAAUGCAUUGAAUCCAUUAUAAAUAUGCAGUUAAGCACACUUGGGAUAGAGUAGUACUGGGAUGGAUGACCUCCUGGGAAGUUAUAGUGUUUUAUAUG
rnacentral:rRNA from 1 species